CACUCAACCUUGUGCUAUGGGUCGGUCUACAUCCUUUGGUUGCUGAGGGCAAUCUUUUAUAAGGUGUUGGGUGCUUUUUUACCGAUAGUAGGUGUUAUUGAUAUGCCGACAGGGCAGGUCACCAUGCGAGUGACCACAAUGUUGACAAGGUUGGUCAGCUCAGGCAGGUGGAGCUGUAGGUGGGGGCAGGGCAGGAGGAAGGACAAUUCUGGUUCAUUUAU
rnacentral:lncRNA from 1 species